GUGCUCACUUUGGCAGCACUUGCAUGAAAACUGGAACAAUACAGAGAAGAUUAGCAUGGCCCCGUGCAAGGAUGACAUGCAAAUUUGUGCAGUGCUCCAUAUUAAA